CUAUUUCACUGGUCUAAACUUUUAAACUGUUAUAAUUCAUAAACUUCAGAAAACGAGUACCGUAAUAGGUAAAAAAAAAAAAUCCAGAUUUAAAAAUUAUUUGAGAAAAUUGACGGUUCGUGAUAAAAGAAUUACCGUGUACACCUACCCGUGUACACCUACCUGUACGAUAAGUGGUCGCCUAGUAUAAUAUUUUUCUUUGGUCGGCCA